AGUGGAACAAGUUGCAGACAGGAAGCUAACAUGUUGUUUCGGCAGACCAGAACCAUCGUUUUGACAGCUUAACCGGCAGAGCAGCUGAGUGCAACAGCAAAAUCCAUUACAAGUUCUCAUGCAAGGUCGUGCCUUCUUUGUACAGCUGUAAUCCAAGAAGAAUGGCUAUUAACUGUCCAUAAGGAUUGUGAACAACAAAGGAUGAAUGGAGAGAAACAUAUUGCAUUGAAACACAAAGGACUAUUUCUGCAGUACAUCUGUACAUUCUGUUCAGAACAGAUUAAGGCUAUAAAAACACAGGAGCAGAAUUAGGCCAUUCAGCCCAUCGAGUCUCUUCUGCCAUUCGAUUGUGGCCGAUCCAUUUUCCCCUCUCAACCCCAUUUUCCCGCCAAAGCACACACUUGGAUUUUUUUCACUGCAAUCAAAAAAUGUAAACGAACAACAAAGAGGCGAGAUAAGAGUGAAGUUUUGUAGUGUUUAUUUUCUAGCAGACACACUACAUAAAAGUCCCUUUAAAUUAGUGUACAUUAUUACCCUCAUUAGGGCAAAGCCCUCAGGGUGCUGCAGAAACUGUUUUGAAGGGAGCUUUAGCUAAGAAAAAAAAA